UGAUAUUAUUUGAUUUUAAGAUGUUUUUAAAUAAAACCUAUAUAUAGUUUUGAGAUAUAGUAGAGUUCAGAUAUAUCCUAAUGGAAUAAGGAUUAUUACUUGUAAUUAUAUACUAUUUGAGACAAUAUAUUCGUGAACCUUUUGAGAGAAGUUUUAACAAUUGGUCAUAACAGGCCAUAGGCUAUAUUAGGGGCCAAAUUUUAUGGGGUUCCCAGAGGCUCCUCUAUAGAUUAGUAAAGAUUAAAGAAAACCACUCUACCCAGUAGGACUCAGUGCUAAGUCUAGAAGACCCCAUUAAACAUCUCUGUGAUGCUUAGUUUCAGUUCUGAAACUGUAGAUUUUUGUCUCCAGAGAUAACAUCGCUGUUAAUAGCAGCAUAUGGAGUUGAGAGACAACAGACCUUAUUACCCACUCAUCAGCCCUAUUAUCCAUCUGCAAGUUUGUGUACACAGAUUCAAACUCUUACCUCUCUCUAAAAGUGCAAAGUUUCAAGAAGUUUAAUGAAUAGAGGAUCGUUGGGAAUAGAGUAGACCUGGGUGAGGAAGAGGAGUCUGGAGAUAAAUGCAAGGAGGGAGUGGCAGUAGAAAUAAAAGAGAAACAUUUUGAGCAGACGACUCCAGAAGUCUUGAGGGAUAAGUUUCUGAUUAGAGCCUCUCCAUUCAUUUGGUAGAAGGGAAAACCUAUCAUGGCAGCAGGCUUGUGAGGCCAUAAAAGAGACCCUGUUUUGGAAUAUUUUAAUAAAGUUCAUCUACCCAUGGGUAAGACAGGCAUGCGUGCAAAAUGCAAACAGUGAAACAAAGAAAUGCAAGGCCUGGUUGACCAAAUGAAACAACAUCGUGAGAUGUGCUCCUUCGCAGGAGGAAGCUGCUCUGAAGAUGAUGAAAGGAACAUGUCUGAACAUGCAGGAUCUCCAGGAGGAUCCAUCCUCAACAUACAGGACUCUGAAUACCCAUCUUCAUCAUCACCAUCACCAUCACUAUCUACAGUUUUAGAGUUAUCUGCUAAUGAUAUCAGUGUUCCAGUCAAAUGCAUGGCACGUAUUAUCAUGUAGCAAAAAGAAAAAAAAAUGGCUCCAUCAUCCAGAAACAACCAUAAACCUGUAAUAAGGACCAGCAGAUUACAGUGAGAGGUAAGUGAUAAAAAAAAUUGCUCAGUUUGUUUCUGCAACAAACUCUCCUUCCAGUAUGGUUGAGAACACACACUUCAUUGACAUGGUUCAGUCAUUACGACCAGGAUACAGUCCACCCAAGAGAGCAGAGAUAGCAGGCAAAUUAUUGCUGGAUAAAAUGUAUGACAAAGAAACUGAACAUUGUGCAAGAAGUCUACAGGGGAAAAUUGUUAACCUGAGUCUUGAUGGGUGGAGCAAUGUCCACAAGGAUCCAGUAAGACGUGCUUGUGUGACAACAGAAGAAGGCACUGUCUACCUUACAGAAACACUUGAUUCAUCAGGACAUGCACACACAGCAGGAUACUUGCAAGAAGUAACAGUACAAGCUAUAACAAACUGUGGAAGAGAAUUCAAGCAUCUAGCACACAGCUUUGUUACAGACGAUGCUGCAAACGUAUCAAAGAUGAGAAGAAACCUAGAAGAAAGCGAAGAAAGCCUGAAGGUCAUAACAUAUAACUGCAGCACUCAUUUGACGCACCUCUUUGCCAAAGACUUCAGCGCUCCAGAAAUAAAGGGAAAUGUUGCUGAAAUUGCAAAAUACUUCCGUAAUGACCACUUGCAGCAGCUGCUCUGAAGAAACUAAACUAACUCUCCCACAAGACGUGCGAUGGACUGUCAGUAGUGGACUGUUGUGAGCGAUAUAUUGAGAACUGGCCUAAUCUGAUGACAAUUUGUGAACAAAAUCAUGACCAAAUAGAUGCAGGUGGCAUACCCAAAGUGCUCGACAUUGAGCUAAAGAGAAAUGGAGAACGUGCGCUCACUAUGCUGAUGGCUAGCUCUGUAGCCUUGAACAAAGUGCAGGGAAAUCACUGUUUUACUGCUGAUGCUGUUGAAAUUUGGAAGGAAAUGAGUGAUGGUGCAGGGCACUAAGAGGCCCGCUGAUUUAAGGGCAGACUCUGCCUAGGGAGAGGGCCCUAGGAGCCAGGCAGAAACCCCACACAGGUGCAGGUUACUAUGGCAGCAGGCUAAUGAGGGAAUUAGCCUGCACCUGCACCUGGUCAGCUGACCGGAAGAAGGCAGGGGCCUGGGCACAUAUAAACCCCAGGGCUGACGUUGGCAGGUGUCGGCUCUCCGGCAGCAGCCAGGGGAAGGAGCCUGCAGAGAAGUACUGUCCAGAGAUGCUGUGGCCACCUGGUAUGCUGUCCUAUAGGACUAAGGGGCUCCCAAACCUCACCAGGUACUCUGGGCUACAAAGUAUUUAAUGUUUGGGGAGAAGUUUGCAACUUUUAAAGGGACAGAGAGCACCCUGCACUGUUUGUAUUAUGUUCUAGCAUAGGAGCUUGUGUUUUCUGUUGUUAUUUAAACUAGUGGACUGGGUCAAGGCUACUGGGGAGGAGGAGGCCUCACUGGGGCACACUACAGUGUGGAGACCCCAGAGCCAGUAAGGGAACAGUGAUGGGCCAAGGGCCCAGUGAUGAAGGGAGGCUGAGCUAUAUCAAAGUCUCAGAGGAACAAUGUUUGAAUACCAUCUGUUAGGCAUGGGGUGCGAUACAGGGAUGGUUUUGGAGUAGCGCAUCUAGCCCGUAAGGCUUGGGGUGUCCUGCGAGGCACUUACUUAAAGAGGGACCCAGCAAGGGGUCUAAGAAUGCACACUGCUUAGUGGGGUCCACCAGGACCAUGACCUUGAGGGCAGCCCCGCUAUUUACCAUCUAUUAUCUUCACCAUCAAGACGUGGCAGGUGAGAAUAGAAGGCGCCCAUGGGGUGAAGCUAGCAAGGUCACAGGCAUACUUGUGCUAGCAAGAUACCCUAGGGAUAUCACGGCUGUCCCUAGGGACCCCACCCCAUGACAAGUGAGAACUUGAAAAGAGACCUAUGCAAUGACAGAGUUAAAUUGCAGCCAUUAAAACAAAAAAACCCCUAAUAAAUCAAGCACAAUUUCUUGCCAAUAUUCUCAAUACUCUGUACCAGGAUCAAUCCUUAACUGCUGAAGAGGAGGAGUUGGCUAUGACAUAGGUAUCCAGCAAUCAUCCCUCUAUAAUACCAACUAUAAUACAUUUCAGAGUUAAGGGUGAACCAUUCAGGACAUGCAUGUUUGCUGAUGCAGUUUUAAAGAAAGCUACACCAUUGAACUGGUGGAAGUCACUUAAGUACCUGGAUCCACCAGAGACUAUUGAAGUGAUAAUCCUGCUUUAAACAACAGUAGCUUCUCUUGCAGGUGUAGGAAGAAUAUUUUCUUCCUUUGGACUAAUUUGUUCUAAAUUGAUAAAUCACUUGGCAAAUGAAAAAGCAGGAAAGCUUAUCUUUCUUUUCCAGGCUCUGAAUAAACAGGAAGAGAAAGGUGAGGACUGGGUUUGCUGCGCAACCCAGUAUUCUUAGUUUCUCAUGUUGACCUGGCUGAAAUAAUCCAUUUAAUUUUUGUUAAACGCAUUUCAGAUUUAUAAAAAAUUAAAAAUACAAAGGUUUUUUUUUUUUUUGUUUAAAACGAUGCAUAUUUGUUGCUGAAGAAAAAUAUAAAAAAAAUGCAUAAGCUUGUUGUUUAAUUAAAUAAUAAAACAAUUUACAUAUC